UCAUUUUAUGGAGACGGCUUCAUUUUGGACUGAAAGGGGCCUUCAUAUCACGUGAUAUACAACUUUCAUUUUAUGGAGACGCCUUCUUUUUGGACUGAAAGGGGCCUUCAUAUCACGUGAUAUACAACUUUCAUUUUAUUGAGACGGCUUCUUUUUGGACUGAAAGGGGCCUUCAUAUCACGUGAUGGACAUGGGCUCGUUUUAUGGAGACCACCUUCAUUUUGGACAGAAGGGGUAUUCAAAGCGUAAGGGACGUUCAUUCUGAGCUACCUUCAUUAUGUAAUGAAGUGGUCCUCAUUCUAAAUUGAAUCAUGGCCCUCGAUUUGGUGUGGAAUGAAGGGUACCUUCAUGAAGGUAUGAAGGGUCUUCAUUAAGGUAUGAAAUGAGUGUGAAUCGCAUAUAGAAUGAAGGCUCCAGGUUCCCAGAGUGUAGCUAUGAAGGACAUAUGAAGUGGGUAGCACUAAGAUGGUAUUAAGAAGAUACUAAGUGGUGGCGUUCCACGAGUGUAGAUAAUAUAUGCACCACACAAUUAAUAUCCAAGCAUUUCGUAGAUCACCGGUGGGCAGUGCACGAAAACCCCUGCUACAGCUGUGAGCUCAGUCAACGAGCACUGUACAGAACAGUAUACAUAGAUAUAUAGUUCAGCAGGUAGAGGCCAGAGCUCUGGCCCUCGAGGGAAGCAAAACAUGUCAUCAGGUCAUGACCUGUUCCCCAGUUUCCAUGCACUGAUGAUCAUCAGUGCACGGAAACCCCAAUGAGACCAAUAAUAACAAGCACUAUAACCGAGGUAAAGAUAGCCCAGCAAAUAGAGGCUGGCAGGGGGCCCCGGGGGCACCGGGAAAGGUGUACCAUGGACCCCACAAGCCAACCUCAGUCCUCAUGACUGAUCAGUCCAACAGGGGGAACACCAUAAAAG
rnacentral:lncRNA from 1 species